rnacentral:tRNA from 1 species
UCUUGGAUAGCUUAACUGGUAGAGCUCUUGGCGCAUAACCAAACGAUCUGGGUUCGAUUCUCAGUCUGAGCC